UCCUCAGAGAUUAAAAAGAAGAGGAUAAAUGAGAGAAUAACUAUGUACUAAUAUAUGACUGAAGCUAUGGUCCACAUGACGAAGUAACAGUACCUAAACAUACUCCAAGAAUCAUUAGACUUCAUUACUAAAGGUCCAUGGCCUGUGGUAUCCUAACUGCAUAUGAUUUAUUUUCUAGCAUUAUAAGACACCCUUGAUUGGUGAGAAAAAGCUUUGUUUAGCCUGCAGAUAAAAUCAAUAGAAAAGAAGCCUUUUCCCUUGGUGGUAAAUGUUGGAGUAUAACCCAUUUUCACCUAUGUUGCCGGAACAGACAGAAGGGCAGAAGAGACUGGUCAAAACCAGGUCUGUAAAACUACUGUAAGAAAAAUCAAAUGCAUAAAUUAUAUGGGGACAGAAGACAAAACACUCAAGUGGUAAACAUUGUUUACAUAGGUAGACGUUACAUUUAUCCACAUUAUACAAAGCACACCAUUAUAAAUUAAGUGUAUGUGAAAAGAAAAGAUUUGUUUUCCAUUUUACUAGAUUUUUCUUGUGUAAGAAUGCAAAAGCAAAGACUAUCUUUUCCUGCUUAAUUCUACACUUCUUGUAGUUAUGGAAUGGAUUACUGAGUUGUUUUGAAUUCAGUAAAUUACUGUACAAUAUAUCUAAGCUAAAAAUGGCAUGCAUACUUUUGUAGGAAAUAGUUUAUUUGAAAAAGCCUAUAGAGGUUUGUAAUACUUUAAUCCCACUGAAGGUAUUGGAGCUUUAGUCAGCUAGCAUUUAAUAGGAUUGAUACAAUCCAAUGCAUGAAAAAGAAUUCUGAAUAGCAACAUUUAAGUUUUGAGUUUAUACUCUAUUGAACUUAUUACACCAGAUAAAAAUGGCAAAAAUUGCUCAUUUCCACAAUGCUGAUAAAGUCUUUUAAAAUCAUGAGUGUGAAAUAAAUAGGUGGAUCUUAAUAAAUGUCUCAUUUUUGUUUAGUUAAUAUGUUUGUAUGCAAGAAUACUUAUAUGAUAUAUUUUAUUGUAUGGUGUGCAAAAUUUG